GUGCCAUCUGGAGAGCACUUUCUCCUAAGUCAAGAAGGAAAAAGUUCUUUCUAGGACUAGUCAGUCUUGGGCUUCUCCAUCCACAGGGCUCCAGCAGGGGAACUUAAUCCUAAUGUCGAGACCUGCUGGAUUUAUAGGGGACCAGGGAAAAGGUCAGAGGCUCUCCAGGGUUGAAGCGCAGGGACUGACAGCUGACCAUAGUCCCCAGGGGUGUAUUAAUAGCCGUGGUGGUGACUGCUUUGAUCAGUGGGUAGAAACCAAUGCUGUAGUACACCAGUCCAAUUUUGUCAUCUUUCCAGGCAAAGAAACCUGAAUGUCCUUUCUAUGCGGCCAAGUUUGGAGGCCCAAAGGUUUCCCUGCUCAGCCUGGCUUUCUGGGCUCUGCUCAGUGAUUCUUCCCUCCUCUGCCUGCAGGUGGUCAAGGCAGUCCCGGAACCACCUCACACCAUCGUGGAGAGGAGCAGCCACGAGGUCGAGCUUGUCCUCAGUGCUCAAGUUGACUACGCUGAGUUCAAACUGGACACGGUCGAGGUUCAGCUGAAGGAGACUGAGCUCUUCCAGACAGAGAUAAGCACUUUCCGGAUGUCCAAUACAGGGAAUGUAGCCCUGAAAUACUGCUGGGAGGAGAAUCUGGAGGAGGAAAUACCAUCAAAGAGUUCUGGGAGGCCGUUCUCGUCCACUCAGACACGUGAUUUCUUGUCCUCUACUGCUGAGGAUCUCUGGGAAAGGAAUCGUGCAAGGCUGGUGCAGCAGGCAUUGCUGCUCGAGUCAACUCAGCCUUAGCCAAGUCAGCCCCAGCCAAGUCUGCGCCUUUCAAAGCAGCUGUGCCGCUCUUCGAAGGGCCUUAGCUCCUCCCCGGAAUUCUCUCCAAUUCCUGUCAAGGACCCACCACUGUUCUCCAUCGAGCCCCACUGCGGUACCAUCCCUUCUGGCCAGAAUCAGAUUUUCCAUGUGAAAUUCUUCCCGACGCGUGUGGGGGAAUUUAAGGCCGAAAUGCUGUGCAGACUUCUUAACCUGAAGCCAUCUCAGGAGAGCCCACGGGUGUUUGUGAUGGGGAAAGGCUGUUUGCCGAAGGCUGAUCUGAAACGCUUUACAUCACUGCAAAAAGGUGAAACCC